UGGGCAUCCUAAUAAGGAAAGGAGAGGA
rnacentral:piRNA from 1 species